UACAGAGGGUGCAAGCGUUAAUCGGAAUUACUGGGUGUAAAGCGCGCGUAGGCGGUCGGGUCAGUCGGUUGUGAAAUCCCCGGGCUUAACCUGGGAAUUGCAGUCGAUACUGCCCGGCUAGAGUGUGGAAGAGGGAAGCGGAAUUUCCGGUGUAGCGGUGAAAUGCGUAGAUAUCGGAAGGAACACCAGUGGCGAAGGCGGCUUCCUGGUCCAACACUGACGCUGAGGCGCGAAAGCGUGGGUAGCGAUCACG
rnacentral:rRNA from 1 species